rnacentral:rRNA from 1 species
CCUACGGGUGGCUGCAGUGGGGAAUCUUAGACAAUGGGCGCAAGCCUGAUCUAGCCAUGCCGCGUGAGUGAUGAAGGCCCUAGGGUCGUAAAGCUCUUUCGCCAGAGAUGAUAAUGACAGUAUCUGGUAAAGAAACCCCGGCUAACUCCGUGCCAGCAGCCGCGGUAAUACGGAGGGUCCGAGCGUUAUCCGGAAUUAUUGGGUUUAAAGGGUCCGUAGGCGGAUGAUUAAGUCAGGGGUGAAAGUUUGCAGCUCAACUGUAAAAUUGCCUUUGAUACUGGUUAUCUUGAGUUGUAUUGAAGUAGGCGGAAUAUGUAGUGUAGCGGUGAAAUGCAUAGAUAUUACAUAGAACACCAAUUGCGAAGGCAGCUUACUAAGUACUAACUGACGCUGAUGGACGAAAGCGUGGGUAGCGAACAGGAUUAGAUACCCUGGUAGUC